UUUAACCUCAGCAAGUUCCUUUUGAGUUUUUAAUAGAGGGAUAUUAAUUUAAAGAAGUAACUCUCAUCUUAUGCAUCAUUAACUCUUCGCCGGCUUUAUGUUUAUAUAUGCACAGAUGGUCAACCAUAGCUCGAUACCUGCCAGGAAGAACGGACAAUGAAAUAAAGAACUAUUGGAGAACCCAUUUCAAGAAAAAGGGAAAGCCUUCUGAAAAGAAAGAUAGGAGAAGAUUACUUAAACAGAAGAUGGAACAAGAUGAAACUGGCACCGGAGCUAAGGCGUCGCCCCUGUCAGAGGUAACAAGCGAACAGACUCUCUCUCCGGAGCUACAAGCCCAGCAAGAAUUUCCAACGCUACC
rnacentral:lncRNA from 1 species